UACGAAGGGGGCUAGCGUUGCUCGGAAUGACUGGGCGUAAAGGGCGCGUAGGCGGAUGGUACAGUCAGAUGUGAAAUUCCCGGGCUUAACCUGGGGGCUGCAUUUGAUACGUGCGAUCUGGAGUGAGGAAGAGGGUCGUGGAAUUCCCAGUGUAGAGGUGAAAUUCGUAGAUAUUGGGAAGAACACCGGUGGCGAAGGCGGCGACCUGGUCCUUGACUGACGCUGAGGCGCGAAAGCGUGGGGAGCAAACAGG
rnacentral:rRNA from 1 species